rnacentral:rRNA from 1 species
CCUACGGGUGGCAGCAGUGAGGAAUAUUGGUCAAUGGACGAGAGUCUGAACCAGCCAAGUAGCGUGAAGGAUGACUGCCCUAUGGGUUGUAAACUUCUUUUAUAUGGGAAUAAAAUGUUCCAUGUGUGGGAUUUUGUAUGUACCAUAUGAAUAAGGAUCGGCUAACUCCGUGCCAGCAGCCGCGGUAAUACGGAGGAUCCGAGCGUUAUCCGGAUUUAUUGGGUUUAAAGGGAGCGUAGGUGGAUUGUUAAGUCAGUUGUGAAAGUUUGCGGCUCAACCGUAAAAUUGCAGUUGACACUGGCAGUCUUGAGUACAGUAGAGGUGGGCGGAAUUCGUGGUGUAGCGGUGAAAUGCUUAGAUAUCACGAAGAACUCCGAUUGCGAAGGCAGCUCACUGGACUGCAACUGACACUGAGGCUCGAAAGCGUGGGGAGCAAACAGGAUUAGAUACCCCAGUAGUC